UACGUAGGGGGCUAGCGUUACUCGGAUUGACUGGGCGUAAAGGGCGCGUAGGCGGCUUGUACAGUCAGACGUGAAACUCCUGGGCUCAACCUGGGGGCUGCGUUUGAUACGUGCGGGCUUGAGUUCGGAAGAGGGUCGUGGAAUUCCCAGUGUAGAGGUGAAAUUCGUAGAUAUUGGGAAGAACACCGGUGGCGAAGGCGGCGACCUGGUCCGAUACUGACGCUGAGGCGCGAAAGCGUGGGGAGCAAACAGG
rnacentral:rRNA from 1 species